rnacentral:rRNA from 1 species
GAUGAACGCUGGCGGCGUGCUUAACACAUGCAAGUCGAACGAUGAUCUCCAGCUUGCUGGGGGGAUUAGUGGCGAACGGGUGAGUAACACGUGAGUAACCUGCCCUUGACUCUGGGAUAAGCCUGGGAAACUGGGUCUAAUACCGGAUAUGACUCCUCAUCGCAUGGUGGGGGGUGGAAAGCUUUUUGUGGUUUUGGAUGGACUCGCGGCCUAUCAGCUUGUUGGUGAGGUAAUGGCUUACCAAGGCGACGACGGGUAGCCGGCCUGAGAGGGUGACCGGCCACACUGGGACUGAGACACGGCCCAGACUCCUACGGGAGGCAGCAGUGGGGAAUAUUGCACAAUGGGCGAAAGCCUGAUGCAGCGACGCCGCGUGAGGGAUGACGGCCUUCGGGUUGUAAACCUCUUUCAGUAGGGAAGAAGCGAAAGUG